CUGUGUCGCCCAUGCAGCUGGGCCGCCUCUGUGGCGGGCCAUGCGCCCGAGCUGGCUCCGUGCCGCGGAGCCUCUGGGGGCCCCGCCCGUGGCCACUGCUCGGUGGUGCUGGAAAGAAGUUGACGGAUGAUGCUGGGAUUAUGCCCUCGGGGGUGAUUGUCAUUUCAGACGUGUUGGUCGAAAACACGGCCAUCUUCAUGUGCAAAUGUUGUAACCUUUUUUCACCCAGCCAGUCGGAGCUCCUGUCCCAUGUUUCUGAGAAGCACACAGAAGAAGGUGUUAAUGUUGAUGAAAUCAUCAUUCCCCUCAGACCUCUGAGUACUCCUGAGCCCACUAACCCAAGCAAAAGCGGAGAUGAGUUUUCGGUCAUGAAGAGGAAGAGAGGCAGGCCCAAGGGCUCCACGAAGAAGCCCAGCGCCGAGGAGGAGCUGGUGGAAAGCGCCGUGGGUCUGAGCGAGGACAGUCCGCCGGCCCCCGGGGAGGGCAGCGGCCUGGCUCCCAGCAGCUUGGAGUGCAGCAAGUGCUGUCGAAAGUUCUCCAACCCUCGCCAGCUGAGGAAGCACAUCUGCAUCAUUGUGCUGAAUUUGGACGAGGAGGAUGGAGAAGCAGGUGAUGAAUCUGACCUUGAACUGGAAAGGAAGUACAAGGAAGAUGAUCGAGAAAAGACCCCGAGGAGGCCGCGGACACAGAGGACAGAGAAAGUCCAGAAGAUCCCCUCGGGAAAGGAGGCCGGGCAGAUUUCCGGAGUGAAGAAACCCAUCAUAAGUGUGGUUUUAACGGCCCACGAAGCUAUUCCAGGUGCUACCAAGAUUGUUCCAGUGGAGGCCGGGCCCCCGGAGACAGGCACUGCCAACCCCGAGGCCACCGUGGCCGACCUGGCGCCUCGGAGAGGGUACCAGGAGUAUGCCAUUCAGCAGACACCGUAUGAGCAGCCCAUGAAGUCCAGCAGGCUAGGGCCCACCCAGCUCAAGAUCUUCACUUGUGAGUACUGCAACAAGGUCUUCAAGUUCAAGCACUCGCUGCAGGCCCACCUGAGGAUCCACACCAACGAGAAGCCCUACAAGUGCCCGCAGUGCAGCUAUGCCAGCGCCAUCAAGGCCAACCUGAACGUGCACCUGCGCAAGCACACCGGCGAGAAGUUCGCCUGCGACUACUGCUCUUUCACCUGCCUGAGCAAGGGGCACCUCAAGGUGCACAUCGAGCGCGUGCACAAAAAGAUCAAGCAGCACUGCCGCUUCUGCAAGAAGAAGUACUCGGACGUGAAGAACCUCAUCAAGCACAUCCGAGACGCGCACGACCCCCAGGACAAGAAGGUCAAGGAGGCCCUGGACGAGCUCUGCCUCAUGACCAGGGAGGGCAAGCGGCAGCUGCUUUACGACUGCCACAUCUGCGAGCGCAAGUUCAAGAACGAGCUGGACCGUGACCGCCACAUGCUGGUGCACGGGGACAAGUGGCCCUUUGCCUGCGAGCUCUGCGGCCACGGGGCCACCAAGUACCAGGCGCUGGAGCUGCACGUCAGGAAGCACCCCUUCGUGUAUGUCUGUGCCGUAUGCCUCAAGAAGUUUGUCAGCUCCAUCCGGCUGCGCUCCCACAUCCGCGAGGCACACGGGGCUGCGCAGGAGCCUGGGGUCUUCACCAGCUCCAUCAACCAGAGCUUCUGCCUGCUGGAGCCCGGCGGGGACAUCCAGCAAGAAGCCUUGGGGGGCCAGCUGCAGCUGGCAGAGGAAGAGUUUGUGUGCCAGGGGGUGAAUGCACCCAAGGAGGCAGCCUGCCCCGGAGACGCUCAGCCUGAGGAGGGACGGAAGGAGACGGAGGCCUCCGUGGACGAGCCUGCCCCACCCGCGCACUUAGCCGCCCCCCAGGCUGAAAGCACUGUCCUGCCACCCUGCGAGCUAGAAGCUGCUGUGGACUCCUCGGACCUUCGCUCGCACUCGGUGGUUUCUGAUGAGUUUUUACUGAAGAAUAAUACCUCCUCUGCUGGGGCUCGCACAGCUCCUGAGGAGACCCUGGAUGCCCCUCACAGAGCCUCCUCCCAGACUCAGGGCGAAGAAGUCACACCACUGCUGUCUGAGGCCAGACGCACGGAAACAAGCCAGGACACGCAGGGUGCCGAGAGCCCCCCGGGGGCGGGGCAGGAAGUGGCUGUCCCCGCAUCUGAAGGACCAGAUCCUGGUAGGUGUCUCAGGUCAAACCCAGGUGAGGCCUCAGACCCUGCUCUGGUAACGGGCGGAGGGGACCUGGCCCUGCCCCAGCCUGACUCUUGCACACCUGCUUCUGAGCACCGGGCUGGCAUCAGCGCGUUCAUGAAGAUCCUGGAUGGUUUACAGAAGAGACGGAUGAACACUAGCUUGUGCGAGAGGAUCCGGAAGGUGUACGGGGACCUGGAGUGUGAAUACUGUGGCAAACUUUUUUGGUACCAGGUGCACUUUGAUAUGCACGUGCGCACCCACACGCGGGAACACCUGUACCAUUGCUCCCAGUGCCAUUAUUCCUCCAUCACCAAAAACUGCCUUAAGCGCCAUGUUAUUCAGAAACACAGUAACAUCUUGCUGAAGUGUCCCACCGACGGCUGUGACUACAACACCCCAGAUAAAUAUAAGCUGCAGGCACAUCUGAAAGUUCACACAGAGCUGCCUUUCCGCUGUGCCCACUGCCACUACUCCUGUAACAUAUCCGGCUCUCUGAAGCGGCACUACAACCGGAAGCACCCCAACGAGGAGUACGCCAACGUGGGCACCGGGGAGCUGGCGGCCGACGCGCUCAUCCAGCAAGGUGGUUUGAAGUGUCCUGUGUGCAGCUUCGUCUACGGCACCAAGUGGGAGUUCAACAGACACUUGAAGAACAAGCAUGGCCUCAAGUUGGUGGAAAAUGAAGGAGAUUCCAAGUGGGAGCCAGCAACAGAAACCCCCGAGGAGCCCUCCACCCAGUACGUGCACAUCACAGAAGCCGAAGAGGACGUUCAGGGCACGCAGGCAGCCGUGGCCGCGCUCCAGGACCUGAGAUACACCUCGGAGAGCGGUGACCGACUUGACCCCACGGCUGUGAACAUCCUCCAGCAGAUCAUCGAGCUGGGUACUGAGGCCCAUGACGCCACUGCCGUGGCCUCGGUGGUGGCCAUGGCUCCAGGGACGGUGACGGUCGUGAAACAGGGCCGGCGUGGGCAGGGCGAGCUCUCUCACACCCCAGCGCUCUGGCCUCUGCUUCUUCGCCUUCUCUCAGCCGGACCCUCCGGUCUCAUAAGGACCCUCGUGAUUCCGUGAUGCCCACCUGGAUAAUCCGGGAUUAUCUCCCCAUCUCAAGCUUCUUAGUCUCAUCUACAGAGUUCCCUUCCUCGUGCAAGGUUCUUGAGGGGGCCAUGGUUGAGAAGAGGCUGGCAGGACCACACCGACCCCAGGAGUCCUCUGCUGAGCACCAACACUCCACUUGAAUCCCCAGGCCAAGAGCAACUGGAUGGUUCUUACUGCAUCUCCUCCCGUUAUGUGACUGUUUCACUGGUGACUAUGAUUAGUGGUUCUCUGUUGGCAGGACUGUAUCUCUGUCCACACAGAGCAUCUUGCUUACAGCCCAGGAGUCAUGCUCUGGGGCUGGGGGGUGGUGCACCCACUCCUUACUCCUGGGUCUCUGCAACCUGGAGUAGCUUCUCUUCUGUUCAUUAUUUUCCCUUGAUGUGCUGGACAUGUCCAAGCUGUCAGCCUCUGCCCCAGUGGCCGGGAACAGCUGAAAGGAGCAACAGACAUGGUCUCAGACCUGCAGGCACCCUGCCCACUUCCCCUACACAGGCCUUUGGCCUGGCAUGGUGCAGCAUUGUGCUGCCAUAAUCUUGUUCAGAAUCCAAAUGCUCUGACCACGUGCUAUAACUGCUGAUUUAAGAAACAAACGUAGAAAUUCCAGAUUUGCCCAAAGCAGUCCCCCUUCUCCCAGAUGCUUCCACAUGCCCUUUGGCAUUUCUGGGCAGGUCCUCUGGGGUGGUUGGCGCUGGAGAGUGAAGCUGAUGUGUCAGCCAGGAGGAGAGGAGCACGCCAAGCCUCCAUGGGCUCAGUGCAUAGCGCUUCGUCCGAGAGGCAAUUUUGGGAGCAGUUCUUGCUGUAGGACAUGUGUUGGUUGCCAGCCAGCACUAGAAUUUCUCUUUAUCAUUUGCAGUUCAUUAUUUUUGCAAGGAAAUGCAGCCCAUAGCUACGGCCAACGACGAGCACCGCUCGCCUGCUUGCAAGGAAGCGCAGGUCCAGCCUGUUCUGUUUUGAAUCGAAGGCCCUGAGUCCCUGGUCUCCCGACGCCCUGUCGUGCUGUCCACGUGUACCAGGGCGUCUGGUGGGAGGGGAUGCUCUGCAGGAGGCGCUUCUCCAGUGCAGCCUCUGGAAGGAGACGCCUCGCGCCCGUGUUCCUGCUGGAGGGGAGGAUGUGAGGGCGAUCUGGCUGCGACAUCUGUCACCCCAUUGAUUGCCGGGGUUGAUUCGGCUGAUGUGGCUGGCUAGGCGGUGUCCCCUUCCUCCCUUACCGCUCCAUGUGCGUCCCUCCUGAAGCUGUGCGCUCCGUCGAGGAGGACGACCUUCCCCGAUAGAGGAGGACCGUUCUUCGGUCAAGGAUAUACGAGUAGCUAUGCUCCCCUGCUAGAACUUCCAAACAAGCUCUCAAGGUCCUGCUGGAGGGGAGCCCGGAAUUGGCCUCCUCUGGGGGCGGAUGUUGAGCCUUUCAUAAUAGUUGGGGCAAAAUUCAAGGGAGGGGAAUUUGGAAGUGACUUACGUGAGACUUCAAAAUCUAUUUUCAGUGCUUUAAAAACGGUCACUGCGUUCUGUUAAUUUGAUUGUUGAAACGCACGGCAAGAGACGGACUGCAGGAUCUCAUUGGCGUGGGAGCCUCUUGCCAUCCUUGGGAGGUCACAGAAGGUGUCGGCUAUCUGUGUUAUAUUUGUCAUAAAGCGGGACUGAGUUGAGAUCUCUCCUCUUCCCCUCCCCCGCCAAAGGGACCAGGAGAAGCCCUUCCUGUUUUGUUAUCCCUUUAAGUUCAAAUAAUUGGUGAGUUACUGGAUUUUUCUUGUUCCAGUGGGAGGCGCUUUUUAACUCCUGCGGUGAGCAGACCUUUCCCUGAAUUCAGCACCGCCGCCCACCCCAUGUGGUGGGAAUAACCAGAGAGCCUCUCCCACUUUCCUCUGCUCUCCUCUCCCCUUCGGAACCCCGUUUGUCUUCAGAUCGCUUGCCCGAGCGCUUGAGACAUUUUAAGAGCGGAGUUUCCUCCUUCUGCGUCGCAGUGAAACCCUGGCAUGUUCAGUUGUCUUGUUGGUUCUCCUUUCCCAUCGUGGUGGUUUUGCCAUUGUUGUGGUUCACGUAAGGUAUCUUUCCAGAAGCUCAGGAAUAGAUAUAUAUGAUUUUAAACGGAUGGUAAGUGUAGCUGCUUGUGUCCUGUGGUAGGAACCUCGCAUCUGUGCUGUGCUUACUGGUUCUGUAGGAGAAUUACAAUGAUGAGGGAUUCAAAUGCCUUUGGAAGACCCAUGGCAAGGGAGUCCUAGGUUUUUCAUAGGCGAUCACGUCUGUUGUGUGGUUGCAGGGGCCGAGAGCAUAUGUGUCCACUAUGCUUCCUACCCCUCCGAGGAUCUAACACCAGACUCUGUUAGGACACUGAUCGAUGCCUCCAAUCCAUAUAGACAUCUUUUAUCUUUUAUUCCCAGUUCUUUUGAGCUUUAUCUUGGCAGUGGGUUACUCUCCCUUGUCACUUAAUGCCAACUCUUGUCCUUUGUAAGCCUUCCAUGGUGCUCCCUUAGCCAUUUGAAUGUCUUCUCUCUGUUUUAAAUAAAACUUUCGGAGACCUCGUUUUCUGCUAUGAUUUCUGGUGGCUGAUAGGAAAAAUUGCAUCCUCAUUCUCAUCUCUCUUAUUACUUGCUGAGCUCCUUUAUCCCCUGGUAGUGAUGGAAAAUUCCACUUCUUUGUGAAAUUUUAAAGUAAAAAUAAGUGCCGUGAUCUGCCUCUGGCCAUGUGGGAAAUUGUCUGAAAAAAUAGUGGAUAAAGGUUUCCCGAUUUCAUUCUGGCCCUUGUGCUCAUUUAGAGCAUCUUUAGCAGGCCUGGAGAGGUCAGGCUUUUGAACUUUUCUUCUCUUUUCUCUUCCUUUCCCUAAGCCCUGAUUUUCCUACCUUUGAGCACCAGGAAGCUGCAGCUUGGUUGGAGCUAUUUGCAGGAUCCCACUUUAUUUGAGUUUCAGUAGUGUUGAGGUGAUUGCUGUUUGCUGGGUGCCCGGUUCCUGGGCCACAGCCUGGGCCGGGGCAGGUGGGUUUGAUGUGACUCCUCCCGUCUCUGCGCUUGCCCUGGCCGGCUGAAAUCACUCGCUCUGUCUCAGGUUUGCAGCAGAGGCGGGGCUGUGAGAGCUCUGAUACGGGGGAGCCAGGGCUGGGGGCCCCACCUGAAGGAGAUGUGGUCCUGGCCUUCCUGGAGCGUGUCCCAGGGCAGUGCUGCCACCAGCUGGGUCUGCUUUUCAUUCCCACUGGAGCAGUGGUCUCCAUCCUGCUCAGAGGAGCUCCCCAAAACAAGCGCUCGGGACCUCACAGCCCUCCCUCCUCAGCUCUUUCAGCUUCCCCAUCCUGUGAGUGCACACUCUCCACCCCAGUGCUCAGGCCGAAACCUGGGGGUCCGUGUUACCCCCACAUGUGAUUGUCAGCACGUCCUCCCCUUGCCGUGGGAUCUCCCCCCACAACACACCUCACAUGUCCCCAUGUCCCAAGGCUGCCACCUCCAUCUGAGCAGCUUCUUCUCCAGAUGUGGUCCCCGGACCAGUGGCGUUGGCUUCAGGGAGCUUGUUAGAAACACAGAGGCUCUGGCUAUACCCCAGACCUCCCAAGUCAGACUGCACGUUACCCCUGUCCCUGGUCCCCCUUGAUUCGUGUGCGUGGCAGAGUCUGAGAAGCUCUCCCCAUGCUGGUUUACAGACCUUCUCUUCACUUGUCUCCUUCCCUCCACUUGUGCUGCUCUCAGAUCCAGUUUCCACAUAGCACAGAGUGAGCUGUUCAAAAUGUAAACCAGAUUCCAGCAUUCCUCACUUAAAACCCUCUAGUAAUGUAGGAAGUUUCCAGUAAACUGGGAACAGGACCUCACCGUGGCCUCCCCAUAGCAGCCUGGCCCUGCUGCCUCGCUCCACCCUCUUGCUUAUUUUGCACCUGCGCACUGGGCUGCCUUCUGAUCCUCUGUUCCCACCAUCAUUCUCUCUGCCCAGAAUGCUCGUCACCUUCCUCUGCGAGGCUCACUUUCUGUUGUUUAGUGUCAGCUGGAAGGCCACACUCUCAGCCCUCUCUGACCUCUCAAGUCCACAUUGGGACUUCUCCGGGACCUGUGGACAUGCUGAGCCCUUCUCCUCUGAUUGUGUCAUUAGAUGGUGCAGGUGGCCGCGAGGUAGGAAGAGUAGCCAGGUGGGCCUCGUCUAGUCCCUGGAGCCCUGGAAAGCUGAGAACUUCUCACCUGAUGGCAGACUUCCGUGAGAUUAGAAGCGGAAGGAUUUGUGUCUUUGCAUCUUCAGCCACUCCCUGUGUGGUCAUUGGUUUUAAUGAGCACCGUCCAAUGCAGAUGAGAAGUGAAGGGCAGUUCAUAUCAGGCAGGCCAGCAACACUGCACGGUGUGGGACUCUGGUCAGAGUACAACCCCACUCUCCCCAAACCCCCCCAUUUGAUGCCUUUAAUGCAGAGGGCAAAGGCGUGAGUGUAGGCACACGAGGAUGUGGUCUGUAACAAAGGCCCCAAGAACGGUAAUGAGUGCCCCCCCCCACCUUCCAGUUUCUCCACUGCUGGAGGACAGGAGAGCGCUGGCCCCCCGCCCAGGUGCAGCCCCUGGGUACUACCCCCUUCCUCAUUUCCUAACUGGGGAGGAAGGUUGACAGUCGGACCAUGGAUUCAGGGGACUGUCCCCAACAAGCCCACAGGUUAGGCUCCCACUUCGAGCGUCUGCUUUUCCAUGGAAGCCACAUCUCUCAGAUCUCCCACUUCCCAGGGUCACCGUGCGCAGAGCAGGAAGGACAUACCGCCACCCACUUCCCUCCCGUUACAGAUGGCAGGAGUGGGGGGUGAACAUGGGGCUGCUCCUGGGGGAAGCGGGAAGGCCACCGAUGCCUCCAGGCCUUCCCUCUGACUGUAGGUAGUACCCAGGGGCCUCACCUGGUGGGGGAGCUGUCCUGUCUUCCAUCAGCGGAGAGACAGGAGGUGGGGAGGGGGGCCCACUCAUUACCGUUCUUGGGGCCUUUGUCACAGACCACAUGCUCACGGACCUGUACGCACGCCUUUGCUUUCCGCAUCAGGUCGGGGCUCAGGGAGAGCGAGCUUGGCUCUCCUUCCUCUGUGGGAUCUCCAGCACUUGGCUCAGGGCCUGGCAUGUUUGGAGGCUUCCCGAGUGCUCAGAAUCAUGAACGGAGGAUCCAACGUCGGACAUCCAAGGCGGGUGGGCUCGGGUGCCUUCCUCAUGGGCUGCAGCUGCUCUGGGGGCCUGCCACGGGAACUGCAGGCCUCUGAGAUGGAGGCCUCCCGGGAGGCUCAGCACACAGGGUGUCUCCUGAGAAGCCGACCUCAUGAGAGUCGCCCCCGGCCGUGUCACGUAGUUGGAGGAGCCCGUGGCAAAGCCGGGAGGGUAACACGUGGCUAAAAGGGAGCCAGCCUGCAUGGGUGUGAACACCUGUCACAUAAUGGUAUGUGACCUGGGACAAAGCACUUCUCCUCUUUGAACUUCUGUUUUCUUAUCCGUAAAAUGGGAAAAUACUAGAACCUACUCCAUAGGGCUAGCAUACAGAUUACAUGUGAUUAUGCACAUGAAGUCUUAGGACGGUUUCAGUAAAUCUUAGCUUCCUGUCCUAGGAGUAACGUUGCUCCUUAUCCCUUUUCUGUGCGUGUAGAAUUCAGCCAUAGCUGUUUCUGCUUCUGGAAGUUUCUUUUUUUUUUUUUUGGUUAAGAUUUAUUUAUUUAUUUGACAGAGAGAGACAGCCAG